rnacentral:lncRNA from 1 species
AGCCCACUAGCAAUAAUAACUCGUUGGGCCUAGCCAACAACCCAAAAUGCUUAAGCCCAGUUAUUAUUACUAGUGUCUAAGUCUCUUAUAAACCCAAUGACAACCCCAUUCCCAUCCGAUGUGGGACUAUUGGGGUGUCACACAAUAUUAGUGAUAUAUUGUGAAGUAGUAGAUCCUCUUAAAUUAUGGGAUGAAUUCUGGGCAUUAAUGGCCG